CCCGGGUGUCCCCAGUGCCAGGACCCUGAGUGAGGCCCCGGGGCUGUGGUGGUGGCUCAGCCUGGCUGCCCGCUGCGCGAGGCACGCACCCGUCCUGGGUCCUGGGGCGCCCGGCCUGGGGGAGUGGGUGUGCGGGCAGGGACCUGGCGGGCCCCCGGGGGUGGGCGUGUUGGGGGGGCUCACCCGCCUGGCUCUGCUCUGUCAACAAGAGGGUCCUUCCCCAGUCACCUGGGCCCCCCUCCCUGCCCCCACCUCAGGCCCCUUGUGCCAGCAGCUGGCACGCCAGGGACCGUUCCCGGGGCUGCGGCCCCCCAGCCCACAGCCCACACCAGGGACUGUCCCCCGGGGCUGCGCCCCCCCCAACCCACACCAGGGACCGUCCCCGGGGCUGCGGCCCCCCAGCCCACAGCCCAAGCCAGGGACCGUCCCCGGGGCUGCGGCCCCCCAGCCCACAGCCCACACCAGGGACCAUCCCCCAGGGCUGAGGCCCCCUCAACCCACACCAGGGACUGUCCCUGGGGCUGCGGCCCCCCAGCCCACAGCCCACACCAGGGGCUGUCCCCCAGGGCUGAGGCCCCCCCCAACCCACACCAGGGACCGUCCCCGGGGCUGAGGCCCCCCCAACCCACACCAGGGACCGUCCCUGGGGCUGUGGCCCCCCAGCCCACAACCCACACCAGGGACCGUCCCUGGGGCUGUGCACCCCCCCAACCCACACCAGGGACCAUCCCUGGGGCUGUGGCCCCCCAGCCCACAACCCACACCAGGGACCUUCCCUGGGGCUGCGCACCACACCAGGGACCGUCCCCAUGGCUGCGGCCCCCCCAGCCCACGCCGGGGGCCGGCACACCACACGGGGCAGCGUAAGCAUGUAGUCCCAAGAGUGGCUUCCAGGAAGGUUGGCCUGUUGACGGCAGCUCAGAGGGAAGCCUGGUUGUCAGAAGCUCCCACCGCUGUGUUUUGCUGAUCAGGUUGUUCUCUCCGAGCACGUGGCCUCCCGCAGAUCCCAGACAAGCCCAAGGUUGGGAGGUUGGUUUCUAUCACGUUCAGCAGAUAAAACUAACAAAAGAAGGCCCCAUGCCCCCACUGCCCCGCCCAGCAGCCUGCCCGCGGCCUGAGCAUCACGCAGUGAGCUCACCCGUCAGCAGAGAGAGCCUCCGUCUUCAAGGCCUAAACCAUUGAUUUUUAUGGCCUUUCUCGUGACUCUGCUUCUGAAUUAGGCACACGGUAUUGAUGUGGGCACACUUUUUAAUCAUAAUAGCUACUGACAAGGUAAUUAAUUUUAAAACAACUCUUUUUCCUGCUGGUCCGAACGGCGCUAUAUUGAGAUUAAAAGCGCGGGCCUCGCCCGCUCUCCGGCGAUUGCCUCUGCGGACAGCCGCUCCAUCUCGCGCCCACGCUGCGGUUAUUGAUGGGCGUGGGCCAUUACGGCAGAAAGAGCAGGGCCCGGAAAUGUGAUAAAGUUUAGGGUUUUAAUGAUGGAAUUACACGACGGGACAAGGUGAUGAAAUCCGUCACCAGUCGCCACGGCCGUCACGAGAGGAGCCACUGGGCCGGGUUCCAGGAAGGUCACCAGUCGCCACGGCCGUCACGAGAGGAGCCACUGGGCCGGGUUCCAGGAAGGCUGCCCAGCUCAGCCUCUCACCCUGCAAACCCCCAAGCUUCUCAAAGUCUAUUCAGUCCGAUAGUAAAUCUGAAGUCUGUUACUUUGUAUAAAAGGAAAUUACCCCCAAAACAAGCUGAACAGUCGUCCGCUUCCCUGGUUCUAUGUCGGCCAUUUGCCCCGCUUCCUGGUCUCAGGGUCCAAUCUGUCCCCCGGUGACGAGGGCUGUCGGCUGGGCUCCCACUUCACCAGCCCUUCCGUCGUCUGCUUGGCGCCUCGGGCCUCCGGGGAAGCCCCUGUGGGGACCGGAGCCCAGACCCAGGCCGACCCCAUGCAUCCCUCCGACCCCGGCCGUGGCCGCCUCCCGCCCCCGGGAGCAGGAGAGGGCCGUGGCCCCCCAGUGCCGCCAGGCCUCUUCUGGAGCGUGGGGUGGGGGGUUCCCAGGAAGCGUGGUGCCCUGGCCUUUCCCACCUCAGGGAACAGGGCAGGUUCUUUAAAAAUAAGAUUGAGCACAAACGCGCUGGCUGGAGAAUGUGUAGGGUCCGGGUGCCCCUGCGUCUGAGCCGUGUCCGUCACUGUGCUCACGUGUGACGCGCAAGCCGACACCACGGCGGGGCGAUGCCCGAGGGCAGCGGGUUUGCCUGAGUUCAGGGCUGUUCUCGGGGACCCUGCUCCUCGGCUUAAUAAACAGGGUGACAGGCCAUCAGGACAGGCAGUGUAGGCGUGUGACACGUGAGGUGUGUCUGCUUCCUCCCUUCAGAUCAAGCGGAAGCUUUGCCUCAGUUCAGUUUUCCUUAAAAAGUUAAUAAAUACAGAGAGCAAAAGAAAAGUGAGGUGUUUGAGUGGCUUGAGGUCCUGUGUUGGCGGGAGGUGGUCCCAGGCCCCUGUGGGGGUCACCGCCUCCUGCUGGUCCCCUGACCCGGGGCCCCCUGACCCGGGGCACUGAGGGCCGCCCCCACGUCUCCCUUUGGAAGCAGCCCCCCUGGGCAGGGCGGGGGUCAGAGGCCAGGAGCUGACCUGGGGGCCUCCGGGCCUCUCCAUGGGGAGAGGGGUCGCCCAGCAUGAGGCUGGAGGGCACGGGAGCCCCUGUGCCCCCGCCCGCCCCCCACGUCCUGCAGCCAGUGGUCGAGGCAGGGCUGGGAGGGCUGCCGUGAGUGGAGCAGGUUGGCGGCUUUUUGUAGAGCAAGGUGGUGUUUCCCGUGGGCGUCGCUCCCAGCCGCCCGCUGGGCUCUGGAGGCAGGGCUGGGGGGGGGCCUUGCUGCCUCUCCUUUCCUGGGGAGGGGGAGCUGUGCUCGGGGCCCCGGAGGCGGGUGACCCGGGGGCUGCACCCGACGUCCUGAUGGGGACACCACGCAGGUUCUCUGAGGUGCGUUCUUCUGGAAGCGUUUAACAGCUCUGAAGAUUCACUUUUUCAAGAUGACUCAGGUCUCGACAGUCUGUGGGGAGGUUCCAUCCCCCCCGACCCCGCCCGUGGAUGCCCAGUGGGUGGGUGGGGUAAGGGGCAAGGCUGGUCCCAGGCGCAGGGCUCCCCCGGGCCGACCCUAGGGCCUCCCCGAGUUUUCAUCCCUGGGGAGUGUCUCCUCCACAGAAGAUUUAACUUUAACCCCAGAAGCUAUGUUACUGCUCAUCUGCACUGUUAGUAACAAUUUGUUAGAAUAUGUCCUUUCUCUUCGAACUGGUGUGUGUGAGAAUCAAUCCAGUUAAACCAGAAAACAAGACUUUUUGUGGAAUUCAGCAACAUGAUACAACAGUUAAUAUGCAAGAAAAACGUGGAAACAGCUGAGAUUUUUAGAAGAAUUUCAGUGAGAAGCACAUCUGUCAUGAAGUGCUGUUACUUAAAGCAACAGGAACGGGACAAACACGUGUAGGAAAGGAGUUUCUGAAGACCCAGCGACCAGGGACUCUGCAGGCUCCGGCAGGGAGGACUGAGCAUUUCCUGCAGGGUUAGGACUAGUCGCCUCUGGAGAGACCAAUGGACUCAGAACCCAUCCUCCAGAGCAAUUCCAGAUGGAUUAAAGGCCGCCAACUCCGCGCAGAGCGGAGCCAGCCUGGGGGAGAAUGCCCGCGGCCCAGUGGGGGGAGUGGGUGUGUUUCCUACGAGGAACUCGAGGCCCCCGGCAGUGCCGGGAGCACAGGGCUCACGGUGCACUUUCCAGGGAAACUCCUGGAACUCAACGCUGGAGGCAAGGAGCCAGAAAGAAAAGCAGGCAGGAGCAGUGGCAGGGAGAGCGUGGACCCAUGUGUGAGAGGAGCGGCCGCUGGCCUUCCCGGGGACGGGGGGGACGGAUGGACAGGGGGACGGAUGGAUGGAUGGACGGGCGGAGCCCCCCACCAGGUGAUGGGCCCCCACCCAGCGCCAUGAAACGGCGGUGACGCUGCUCCUGGCCACCUCUUCCUUCUCAGCCAACGAGUCCCUGGGAAAGGCCGCCCCAGGGGGCUGCCCUCGCCCUCUACGCUGGGGCCCGCAGGGGUAACCGGGCGGAAGUUUCUGAGUUGAUCAGGGGUGAGCAGUGCUCCCUGGCUCUGCCUGCCCGUGACAUGUGCCUUCUCAGGGUCCACCGUGGGCCGAGUGGGCGCCCCCCACCCUGGGCCCCGGGGCCCCGCUGCCCCGUCUCAGUGGGGGCGUCCAUGCGGCCACGGCUGGGCAGCGAGCCGCCUUUCCCUUCUGCUGGGGUGCACGUCCGUCCUGCGGGCGGUCCUGUCAGCGACAGAUCUCAUCCUGCUUUGAGCCAGAGGUGACCAGUGCAGGCUUCCUUCGCCCCCCAAGGCAGCGUGGCUCCCAUACCAGCCCCGCUGAGGAUCACGGCCUCUGGGGCGCAGGGCUGAGGUCAGGCGUGCUGGGCAGGCUACACCUCAGUGACUCCUUCCCUCCUCUCC